CUACGGGGCGCACCAGUGGGGAAUAUUGGACAAUGGGGGAAACCCUGAUCCAGCAAUGCCGCGUGUGUGAAGAAGGCCUGCGGGUUGUAAAGCACUUUCGGUUGGGAGGACUGCUUCUAGCACUAAUAUUGUUGGAAGUUGACGUUACCUUCAGAAGAAGCACCGGCUAACUCCGUGCCAGCAGCCGCGGUAAUACGGAGGGUGCAAGCGUUAAUCGGAAUUACUGGGCGUAAAGCGCGCGUAGGCGGCUAGAUCAGUCGGGUGUGAAAGCCCCGGGCUUAACCUGGGAACUGCAUCCGAUACUGUCUAGCUUGAGUACAGGAGAGGAGAGUGGAAUUCCACAUGUAGCGGUGACAUGCGUAGAUAUGUGGAGGAACACCAAUGGCGAAGGCAGCUCUCUGGCCUGACACUGACGCUGAGGUGCGAAAGCGUGGGAGCAAACAGGAUUAGAUACCCCGGGUAGUC
rnacentral:rRNA from 1 species